ensembl:lncRNA
AACAAAUACAGAUUAUUUUAUUGAUAAGGACUUGACACAACAAUUAAAGCAAUUUCAUCUGAUCUUUACAAACAAGAUACUGCAAAAGAAAAAACUAAUCUUAUAUGCUACCUUACUGAAAGUCAGCUACAUAUAAAGCCAUACAUUAAUAUUCAUGAAAUUUCACACCACCAAACAACUUCCAAGAGACCAUGCAAAUUAACUACAGCAAUAUUACAGCAAAUGUGUCUUUGCUGUAGUCUGACCAAACCCCCUGGAAUACAAAAGGUUAAACAAUCGCCUAGUUACCUUUAAUCUUCAAGAUUGUGUGAGUCUAACAGAAAUGAAAGGGAUAACAGUAUAAGUGCAUAUGAUAAACAUCAGUGCCUUAUGCAACAUGUUUCAAAAAUAGGUAUUUUAUCAAAAGUUCAUCUUCAGACAUUUUAACUUUUUUUUUUUUCUUCUCCAGUUUAACUUACACAAGGACACUUAUGGCCGUAGUAUGGUUCCGUUACUUAAUCAAAAAAUAAGACAUUGUGAGUUGUGUUACAACUCAUAAGUGGUUACCCAUUUAAUUAGGAGAAAAUGAAAAGCAGUUGAAGCUCAUGUACAAUCUCCAAAAGCAUUAAUCUGCAAGUGUGCUUUUGAAAAGUGCUUAAUUGUUGGUAGAAAGUAGGCCUACAGUUGUCCUUCCAAACAAAUAUGGAUUCAUACAAAAUAGGGGCACAAUAAACAAUAUUGGUGGUGCAUGUUUAGCAACAAAGACACUAUAGAUAACUCAUUACCUAACUCGUAAAACGUGAUCAAUCAUAAAACGUUAUCAAUUAUAAAACCAACGACAUGACUAUUAGAACAUAAAUCACCAAUAACAGUAAGUUUGUAGGUGUUUCGAUUUCUCAGUGAGCAACAAGCAUCUGCCAAUAUUGUCAGUUUACAACAAAAAAGAAACAAGAUAUACACAAGUAUAAAAACAACCUUACUUUGAACUGAAAGGGGAUUGUUGACAAUGGGUGCAGUGCACUGACAGAGCCUCUUGCCAAAGUGUUGACACUGUUAACUGUCAAAUACCAGCAAUUGUCCAAACAAAACAGAUCAUAUACUACAACCUAAACUAUUUACAGCAGGGUAUUGGUAUAUAGCAUAUCCAUUCUAGAAGGAAUGUUCAUAGAAGAUUAAUGAGCUGUUUGACUUACUAGUCAAUUAAUCUGUACCUGAUUGUCCGUAGAAAUAUAAGUAAGCAGGAGCGUAGAUCAGAUGUGAAACAGUUUGAGUUUACAAUUUCAGUGAUUUCUGAGAAAGACAAAAACUAUACAUAAACAAAAAUCCUCCCGAUGCAUAUCACACCAAUGUAAUUUCUGUUGCAGUAAGGAAAUGUCACAGAUUCAUAUAAAACUGUAGUUUCUUCAAGGCCAAAUAAAUGUGUUUAAUCAGAAUAACGGAUUGCCUUAAGACAAGAGACUAUUGAAACUACAUGCUCAAACAUGAUUUUAUAUUCAUAUACACACACGGUGGGAAUAUUUAAUAAAAUGUUUUGUUUCUAACACAAGCUAUACUGCUAAAUAUCUGUAUUUGUGCUAUUUGUUGCCUUUUAGCAGAGGUCCGGCCUGGUCUGAAAAUCUUAAAUAUUGACUUUAAGUUCACGUAUGCUUCACCUUUUAGGUGAAACGUAAAUAAACUAGCUUAUAUGUAUGUAUGUUAAUGUGCAAGUGAAAAACCGCCUGUAGCAAUCUGUAAAAAAAAAAAAAUACAAUUAAAGCAACACAAUGGGCAUAAGAGAAAAGGCACAGAUGCAAAAAAAAAAAUAAGAAGGAAAAUAAAUUAAACCAAAUUGCGUCAUUCACACACAAGUUACCAUUACCUCAAUACAGGAAACGAUACCCUAGAACAAAAGACGCUCCUAAAAAGAGAAAGGAAAUGACUGCUGCAACCAUAUCUGCACCUGAAAUUCCUGUUGUACAGGUGAAUUACAUAUUCCACACCAGCACAAACACUGGUUCAUUACUGUGGGAAUAAUAAAAAGUAAAAAGAAUGAUAAAAAAAAGUUGCAGAAUAGAAAAGGCUUGAGAAAACAAAGACAAAAUAAAGAGUUCAGCAACGCAAAAAUCAAAGCAUGAGAGUGCACUGCACACUAAACAUGGGGCAUUGCCAAUUGUUUCAUAUGAGAGGCAGCUAAUAUGAGCCAAUCACAAACAGCUAUAACCUGUGCAUCAUCACAGAGGGUGUUUCCCCCUGACGUUGGAUUUGUAAUUGGUUAAUCUUUAAUGCACCACUUUAAUCAUUCUGGAAACAGAAUAUAAAUAAUCAGCAAUCCAUGUUCAACAUCAUUGGGUGUCUGCACAAAUUUAACUAUUAUUAUUAUUGUUAUUAUUAUUAUCAAUUUAUAUUAUUGCAAUAGCUGGAUAAUAAUACAUAGGCUUAUUGAGUCAAUCAUGUUAUGGAAUUGAUUCCAUAAACUCCAUCGGUUUUUUACAACAGAUAAGAAAAGCCAAAAUAGUCUCUCUAAUAAGGGCAUGGAACAAUAAUAAAAAGAUAAUAAUCUUGCACAAUUGUAAAUAAAUCACUGCUCCUAUGUUUUGCGUAUUGGUCGUCCUCAAUUAGAGAAGCACUUAAGAUAGCAAAAUAAGUAAGCGUUAAGAAAUAAUCAACGUAAUCCAUUUCUAGUGAUUUUCCCCCAAAAACCCAGAUUAUUCUGUAAAUAUUAGGGUUGUGAGUAUGUUUGGGGAACAAAUAAUGAAAUUAACAAACAUUUAAGACAACGCUCCAUUUAAAAACCUAUUUUCUUCAUGUUUAACUGGUCUUGGAAGCCUGACUGAUGGUACAGUUUGUGCAAUGCGUCCCUAGAGCACCUCUCUUAAUGUUUCGUGGUCAAAUUUGCAAAGAUAUGCAAAUAUCUUUUCCGGCCUACCUCAGUAGAGAAGGGUGCAUAUGUGUUUGGUGGAUGGAUGGGGUGUGGUUCAUUAUGAAUUCUACACAAUAACACUCAUCACUACACUUAGAAUAUUUUAAAGGUUUU